ACUUUUGACCUCGGAUCAGGUAGGGAUACCCGCUGAAC
rnacentral:rRNA from 2 species